rnacentral:rRNA from 1 species
AGCAGCCGCGGUAAUUCCAGCUCCAAUAGCGUAUAUUAAAGUUGUUGCAGUUAAAAAGCUCGUAGUUGAAUUUCGGGGUCAGUAGGUUGGUCAUGCCUUCGGUAUGUACUGGUCUCACUGAUUCCUCCUUCUUGAAGAUCCGUAAUGUCAUUAAUUUGGUGUUGCGGGGAAUCAGGACUGUUACUUUGAAAAAAUUAGAGUGUUUAAAGCAGGCUAACGCUUGAAUACAUUAGCAUGGAAUAAUGAAAUAGGACGUUUGAUCCUAUUUUGUUGGUUUCUAGGAUUGACGUAAUGAUUAAUAGGGAUAGUUGGGGGCAUUAGUAUUCAAUUGUCAGAGGUGAAAUUCUUGGAUUUAUUGAAGACUAACUACUGCGAAAGCAUUUGCCAAGGAUGUUUUCAUUAAUCAAGAACGAAAGUUAGGGGAUCGAAGACGAUCAGAUACCGUCGUAGUCUUAACCAUAAACUAUGCCGACUAGGGAUCGGAUGAUGUUAAUUUUUUAAUGACUCAUUCGGCGCCUUA